GAGCUCCAGUCCUUCUAUUCUGCUACCUUAAUCCCGGGGACUAUUAAAACUCAAUCUACUCAUCUGAAUGCAUGGGUUAACUGUUACUCCUCUUCGUACUCUAAAAAAAAGUUUGCUCAGGAAAAGCCUGCCGGUCUAAUAGAAGUCUCCUAGAAGUCGCCUUCCAGAAAGAGAAUUGACAAAUGCUGAGUGACAGUGGGGCUUGUUCUGAAGAAAGAACCAUGAAUAUUUUUAUGCAGUGACCCAAUCACCAUUUUCCGUUGACUAAUUUGGGGUUCUUUGAUUCUGAGUAUCUUUGAUGUCUCCUAUCUAAGUAUUCACUCCAUUUGAUAGCAAAAGGAAAUUGAAGUCUAUAGAGGUGAGGGACUUGCCCAGUGUCACAAAGCUGGCAUGUGGCAGAAUCAUAAUAAGAAACAUGGUCUCCUGAUUCCAUUCAGAGCACUUUCUAGCACAGCUUAAUCCCCCAGAUUAAAAAACCUUUUAUUUUCUUGGUUGUAUAUUCUAUGGCUCUGGACAAAAACAUUACAUAUUCAUUAUUGUAAUGUCAUAUAUAGAGUAUUUUCUCUCCCCUCAAACCCCUCUGUGCUUAGCUGUUCAUCUCCCCCCACCCCAUACCCUUAAAGGCAACUACUAAUUUUUUUUUUUUUUUGUCUCCACAGUUUGGCCUUUUCCAGAAAGGUAUACAGCUGGAAUCAUGUAGUCUUUUCAGAUGGGCUUCUUUCACUUUGAUCAAUUUAAAGCUCCUCCAUGUCUUUUCGUGGCUUGAUAACUCAUUUCUUGUUAGCACUGAAUACUCCUCCAUUGUGUGCAGUAUCGCGGUUUAUUUGUCCAUCCACCUGUUGAAGGACGACCUCUUGGUUGCUUCCAAGUGUGGGCCCUUCUGAAUAAUGUGCUGUACACAUUCGUGUGCAGGUUUUUAUGUGGAUGUGUUUUCAACUCCUUUGGGUAAAUACCAAGGAACAUGAUUGCUGGAUCAUAGAGUAAGAAUAUGUUUAGUUUUAUUUUUUAUUUUAUUGUAUUUUUUUGUCUUUUUGCCUUUUCUAGUGCUGCUCCUGCGGCAUAUGGAGGUUCCCAGGCUAGGGUUCGAAUCGGAGCUGUAGCCGCCGGCCUACACCACAGCCACAGCAACGCCAGAUCCGAGCCGAGUCUGCGACCUACACCACAGCUCACAGCAAUGCUGGAUCCUUAACCCACUGAGCAAGGCCAAGGAUCGAACUGGCAACUUCAUGGUUCCUAGUUGGAUUCGUUAACCGCUGCGCCCCGACAGGAACUCCAGAAUAUGUUUUAUGAGAAACCACCAGACCGUCUUCCAAAAGUGGCUGUACUGUUUUGCAUUCCCACCAGCAAGGAAUGAGGCUACGUAAUGCUUUACAGCCCCCUCAGCAUGUACUGUGGGCCAUGUUUGGGAUUUUACCUUUUCUUUCAGAUGUCAAGAUUUUGAAUAAUAACUGAGUAGGGAAUCUGAUGUUCCUUAGGACUGCUUGAGACAAUGUUACCCAGAUAGCUUUUAUUUUCCUCGUUUUUUUCAGUCACACCCAUGGUAUAUGGUAAUUUCCAGGCUAGGGGUCGAUUCGGAGCUAUAGCUUCCGGUCUACACCACAGCCACAGCAACGCCAGAUCCGAGCUAUGUCUGUGACCUACACCACAGCUCAUGGCAACGCAGGAUCCUUAAUCCACUGAGCGAGGCCAGGGAUGGAACCCGAAUCCUCAUGGAUACUAGUCGGGUUUGUUACUGCUGAGCCACAUUGGGAACUCCCCAGACAGCUUUAUUGCUAGCAACUAACUGGUACCAUCAACUUGAGUUUUUAACUGAUUCUGCAGGUUUGUUUGUCUCUCUGUUUUUUGUCUUUUUGCCUUUACUGGGGCCACUCCCGCAGCAUGUGGAGGUUCCCAGGCUAGGGGUCUAAUUGGAGCUGUAGCCGCCAGGCUACACCACAGCCACAGCAACACAGGAUCUGAGCCGCAUCUUCGACCUACACCACAGCUCACGGCAACGCCGGAUCCCUAACCCACUGAGCAAGGGCAGGGAUCGAAUCAGCAACCUCAAGGUUCCUAGUUGGAUUCGUUAACCACUGUGCCACGACAGGAACUCCCUGAUUCUGCAGGUUUUUGAACAUAGCUGGCUGGUGACCCAGGUUCCUUUCUCUCCAACCCUCUGGGGCUCUCUUGCAGAUUUAGGUCCCUCUUUGGUCUCUCUGAUCUGCCUCUUUGUCUAGCUAUGGACCUAUUGUAGCCCAUAGGAAGAUUUAGCCUUCACCUGACCCUUAAGGACUUGGAAUAGGCCCCAUCGGGAAAGCCAGUGAAACUCAUCAAGGGCCCUUUCCUCAUCUGUCUGGUUUUCCUUUGUGCUCAGUUUCUGAGCAACCUUGUGUUUGUUCCCUGGGACCUGGAUCCUCCGCUUCCCACUUGUAGUGUUGGGAACUUCCUGGCAAUUUUUAAAACUUCCUUUCAUUAUCAGGACCUGGUAACUAAUCCUCUUAACGCUUCCCAAUAAGAAUUUUAGGGCCUGUCAGGAGGCAUCCCUGUCAGAUGACAUCCCAGGGCCAGGCUGACAACUGCAGAGCUGUGCUGAGGGUUAUAAUAGAAAACAGAUUUCUCUGUAGCAACUGAAGGCUUGCUAUAACCAACACAUGAACUAGGAGAGGAGCUACCACCAUAUAGCUUGCAGAAUCUUUCAGAAAAGCUUUACAAACGGCAUCAUUAUUGCUCAUUGGCAGCCCAGUCAAAUACACCACUUGACACACUUGCCUAAGCUGAGCAAGCUCCAACAGUAUUUCGUAAUCUGACUCAUAGAAGUAGUAAAUCUUCGGAGUUCCCAUCGUGGCUCCGUGGUUAACGAAUCUGACUAGGAACCAUGAGGUUGCAGGUUUGAUCCUUGGCCUUGCUCAUGGAUCCCGUGUUGCUGUGGCUGUGAUGUAGGCUGGUGGCUACAGCUCUGAUUUGACCCCUAGCCUGGGAACCUCCAUAUGCUGCCGGUGCGGUCCUAGAAAAGACAGGAAAAAAAGAAGUAGUAAAUCUUCGAUUUGAAAUUACAUAUCAUUAAUAUGACAAAAAGGGGCAUUCUUAAACCUUUUGUCUUGGUAUCUGAGCAGCUGGAGAAGAGGGCUGCUUGGGAGGGACUCUGCUUGGCCUCGACUGUGUAACCUUGGGCUGGAAGGGGUUGAGAUGGAAAGGAGAAGUGAAGGGUCGCCAUGAAUUUCUUAGUCCCAUCUAUAUGUAAAUCAUUUCAUGUUAUGCAAAUUACUUCUUUGAGAUGCGAUCAGACUCCCAAGAGCAAACAAUUUCCACUCCCAACACUCCUUGCUGCCUCCUGACCAAGCUUUCUUCUUUGUAAAAGGAAGAGAGCUAUUGUAUGUCCUACAAGGGGACAGGAAUGGGACGAACAGGAAUUAGUCUCUCAUGGAGGCAAAACCAAUUCUGGACAACCAUGUUGGGGUGCCUGACAGGAACUCCUGAGGUACAAAACUCACACUGAACCGUAGCCCACCAGGCAUACAUAACACUCGCCAUAUUGCUUUUUCUAGACUCCAUUCUCUUUAUGGAUUCAUGGCAUCUGUAUUUGAGGUAUGAGGACUAUUGACUGCAAACACUUUCUGGACUGAAGGCUUACCGUCCUCUUCCCUUCCGUCCAAAUACACACACAGAACACACACACAGGUGCAUGUGUGUAUACACACACUAAUGUGAUAUAUAAAUAUUUAAUACUCUGAUAUUAAUACCUAGAAUUUCUGUUCACCUAUACCUGUUCUUCUUAGUCUGGGAUGGAUCCCGGAGAGCUGGGGCCAGGAAUUGAUCAUUCAUCCAUCCAUCCAUCCAUCCUUCCAUCCACUGGUUCAUUGAACAAGUAUUUGAGCACAUACAGUGUGCCAGGCACUUUAUUUUGGCAUUGAGGGGGAGAUACAAAGAUGUGGUGGGUGUGAAAAAGCAAUGUAACGUGUUUAUGAGAAUAUAGGAUGCAGGGACCAAAUGAAGGGUGGAGGCAUGGCUGGGUUAGGGAAGGCUUCCCUAGGCCCUGCAUAAUUAACUGGAGUUAGCCGGAUAAACAGUGUUCCUGCCGAGGGGAGGGAUGGCUGAAGGCUCUGAGGAUAAAGGAGGGUAACUGUUUUGUCGUGAGGGGAAAGGAGAAUGGGGAAGGGUAAGGUAGAGACCAGGGAGAUGAGGUAGAGAGGUUGGCUGAGACCAGAUCACACACAAGGUCCUGUGGACCAGAAUUAAAUUUUUGCCUUUGGGGACUCAUUCACCCCAGGCUUCAGGCACGCCUCCCUUGCUUUCCCACGCUUUGAGGUUCUAGCUUUAUGUUAGUUCACUAGUCUCCAGCCCUCAGUAAGAGGAGACCACCAGUAUCCCGGGACCAGAGCUGGCUCUGCAGAUGCUAAACACAGGAUCUGUCCACUUGAUCAAGGAGGAGCCAUUUAGAGCUGGUUCUUUUAGGGUAGGCAAAACAAAGGAUCCCGUGUACCAUGGAUAGUAACCUCUCUAGACUGUGUUACUUGCUGUCAAGAAAUAGCAUAUGUCCACAGUGUCUGUGAGGUGGGCCUCACGGUUGCCAAGUCAAAGAGGGAGUCGUAUAAUUCCUGGGUUAUUUCGUCGCAACCAUGCCUUAUUUUGUCUUGCAUCCUCCUCACUGCGGUCUAGCACAUAUUAGCCCCUUAAUAAGAGCCUGCUGAAUGGAUACCAGUUGUCUUAUUUUGGUCAAAACCUGCGAGGAUAGUUAUUAAUCUACAAACUGGCUCCUGGGGCCAUUGUUAGAGAUCUGGGCUGACUUGAGUGGAGGGUUGUUGAUACGAAGCAGUCACGUUUCUUUGGAACAAGCAGAUGUUCAAAGAAAAAAAAAAAAAAAAAAA
rnacentral:lncRNA from 1 species